rnacentral:tRNA from 1 species
UGUAGUGUAGUUCAGUGGUAGAGUGCUUGUCUAGUAUUUGUGAAGCUCUGGGUUCAAUUCCCAGUACUUCAA